UGGAGAGUUUGAUCCUGGCUCAGGACGAACGCUGGCGGCGUGCUUAACACAUGCAAGUCGAACGGAAAGGCCCUUCGGGGUACUCGAGUGGCGAACGGGUGAGUAACACGUGGGUGAUCUGCCCUGCACUUUGGGAUAAGCCUGGGAAACUGGGUCUAAUACCGGAUAUACCUCAUUGACUGCAUGGUUGGUGGGGGAAAGCUUUUGCGGUGUGGGAUGGGCCCGCGGCCUAUCAGCUUGUUGGUGAGGUUACGGCUCACCAAGGCGACGACGGGUAGCCGGCCUGAGAGGGUGACCGGCCACACUGGGACUGAGAUACGGCCCAGACUCCUACGGGAGGCAGCAGUGGGGAAUAUUGCACAAUGGGCGCAAGCCUGAUGCAGCGACGCCGCGUGAGGGAUGACGGCCUUCGGGUUGUAAACCUCUUUCAGUAGGGACGAAGCGCAAGUGACGGUACCUAUAGAAGAAGGACCGGCCAACUACGUGCCAGCAGCCGCGGUA
rnacentral:rRNA from 1 species